rnacentral:rRNA from 1 species
UACGUAGGGUGCGAGCGUUGUCCGGAAUUAUUGGGCGUAAAGAGCUUGUAGGCGGUUUGUCGCGUCUGCCGUGAAAAUCCGGGGCUCAACCCCGGACUUGCGGUGGGUACGGGCAGACUAGAGUGUGGUAGGGGGAGACUGGAAUUCCUGGUGUAGCGGUGAAAUGCGCAGAUAUCAGGAGGAACACCGAUGGCGAAGGCAGGUCUCUGGGCCACUACUGACGCUGAGAAGCGAAAGCGUGGGUAGCAAACAGG